rnacentral:rRNA from 1 species
ACACUGUUCAUGGGUUACCGCGGCUGCUGGCACGGAGUUAGCCGGUGCUUCUUCUGUGAGUGAUGUCCUUCCUGCCGGCUAUUAACCCGCAGGCCUUCUUCCUCACUGAAAGUGCUUUACAACCCGAAGGCCUUCUUCACACACGCGGCAUGGCUGGAUCAGGGUUGCCCCCAUUGUCCAACUAUUCCCACUGCUGCCUCCCGUAGGAGUCUGGGCCGUGUCUCAGUCCCAGUGUGGCUGAUCAUCCUCUCAGACCAGCUACGGAUCGUCGCCUUGGUGAGCCGUUACCUCACCAACCAGCUAAUCCGACAUAGGCUCAUCCGAUAGCGCGAGGCCCGAAGGUCCCCCGCUUUCCCCCGUAGGGCGUAUGCGGUAUUAGCCUGGGUUUCCCCAGGUUAUCCCCACUACCGGGCAGAUUCCUAUGCAUUACUCACCCGUCCGCCGCUCGCCACCAGGGAGCAAGCUCCCCGUGCUGCCGCUCGACUUGCAUGUGUUAGGCCUGCCGCCAGCGUUCAAU